rnacentral:lncRNA from 1 species
UAAUAUAGGGUCUCCACUCCCUAGUUGAUGCCAGCAUAACUUGACGCCAACAUAGGGUCUCCACUCCAUAGUUUAUGCCAAUAUAGGGUCUCCACUCCCUAGUUGAUGCCAAUAUAGGGUCUCCACUCCCUCGGUGAUGUCAAUAUAGGGUCUCCACUCCCUAGUUGAUGCCAGCAUAACCUGACGCCAACAUAGGGUCUACACUCCCUAGUUGAUGCCAACAUAGGGUCUCCACUCCCUAAUUGAUGCUAGCAUAACCUGACGCCAACAUAGGGUCUCCACUCUCUAGUUGAUGCCAAUAUAGGGUCUCUACUCCCUAGUUGAUGCCAGCAUAACCUGAUGCCAACAUAGGGUCUACACUCCCUAGUUGAUACCAAUAUAGGGUUUCCACUCCCUAGUUGAUGCCAGCAUAACCUGAUGCUAACAUAGGGUCUCCACUCCCUAGUUGAUGCCAAUGUAGGGUCUCCACUCCCUAGUUGAU